rnacentral:lncRNA from 1 species
UAUACGUUUACGUUUGUGUGUGUGUGGCAUGUGUGUCAGUAUUAAUAGUCUUAUGCUAUUGGAAAAUUGGGCUUAUGCAUUUAUUCCCUGAACUUGUGUCAAGUGCUAAAUAUAUGUAUUACACCACAUGCUUGAUAUGAUUGGAAAACACAAAAUAUUCCUGAGAGAAGAAGAAGAGGCUGCAUUAAUUGGAGAUCAUGCCUUGGAGAAAAGCUUAAUUACUGUCCAAUGAAGUUGAACCCUUGGCUGAGGAAAGGCAUGGACACGUGACAUUCCCCACCCCCAGCCGGGAGUGGAAGGGGAGUGAGGAACCGUCGCUCACCCAUCGAGCCUGAAACUAGAAGAAAAAGGCCAUGGAAAAGCCCCUGAUCCUGGGAGUGACAGGGGUGGAGGACCUGAGUUAUAAUUUCACAAGAAUUUGAACUUUAUUUUUCUGCGGAGAGUCACGUGAUUUGUCCUGCGUGCCAAUAAAACUACUGAUGCCAGCUGGCCUGAAGAACUCCAUGAAGAUCUGACUGACUAAAGAAUGCAGUUUCCAAUCCUGGUGAUUUCAUCCCCCUUAUCCCAAGCAGUCAAUAACUUCUACUUUCCAGCCUCUUGUCCUCCACGAUCCCCUUAAAAACUCUAGCCCAAAACUCCCCAGGGAGAUGGAUUCGAGGAUUCCUCCUGUUCGCUCACUCAGCCACUCUGCAAUCAUUAAACUCUUUCUCUGCUGCAAAUCCUGCUGUCGCAAUGUGUUUGUCUGUUACUGCACAGCAGGCUUAUGAACCUGCUGGUCCUGUAACAACACUAGUAACUCAAUGUAGGUGACAAUCUAGUCAUAUUCCUUUUAUGCACAUCUGACACUGUAUAGGCAUAAGUAAAGGCAAUAAACACAUCUUUCCCAUCUGUCAAGAGAUUGGCUGAAAAGAUGUGAGAAAAUGUAUAUGCAUGUAUCUAGUAUUAAGAAAAUAUGGUAUUUGAAGAACAGAAAAAUAAUGAUUAAACUGGUGCAAGUCAUCAUUAAAAUUUCAGGAAUUGUUAAGUAGUUUUUGUGUACUCUAUUGCCUUUUUGCUUCAUGCCUUUUUAGAACAGAAA